AUUGAACGCUGGCGGCAUGCCUUACACAUGCAAGUCGAACGGCAGCACGGGUGCUUGCCCCUGGUGGCGAGUGGCGAACGGGUGAGUAAUACAUCGGAACAUGUCCCGUAGUGGGGGAUAGCCCGGCGAAAGCCGGAUUAAUACCGCAUACGAUCUACGGAUGAAAGCGGGGGACCUUCGGGCCUCGCGCUAUAGGGUUGGCCGAUGGCUGAUUAGCUAGUUGGUGGGGUAAAGGCCUACCAAGGCGACGAUCAGUAGCUGGUCUGAGAGGACGACCAGCCACACUGGGACUGAGACACGGCCCAGACUCCUACGGGAGGCAGCAGUGGGGAAUUUUGGACAAUGGGCGAAAGCCUGAUCCAGCAAUGCCGCGUGUGUGAAGAAGGCCUUCGGGUUGUAAAGCACUUUUGUCCGGAAAGAAAUACUUGGCCCUAAUACGGUCGGGGGAUGACGGUACCGGAAGAAUAAGCACCGGCUAACUACGUG
rnacentral:rRNA from 1 species